CACAGGAAAUUUUUCCCUUCCUCCAACCUCCUCUCCUUCCUACUCUUCAGCCUUCUUUUGUAGUUUGGUGGGACUAAGCAGCUGUGGUGAGAAGAAGAAAAGUAGACAAGAGUUAUCUCACCCAAAAAGAGCCCAUAUUUAUUGACCAAUGAGGAGGAAUGGGAAUGAAAGGAAACAAAGAGAAGAAGCUGUGGAGGAAACAUGUGAAUAUGAUAGAGAAGGAGAAGGAAAUGAGGGAGAAAGAAAAGGCUUCAAAACAGGAGUCUCUGUCUUAGGUUGCCAGAGUCCCAUUCCUCAACAAGAACUGGAUUUUCACUAUUCAUAGCCCUAAGUAAACCAGACAACCAAUGCCAAUUUUUCCAGUGUCCUGAGGGUCUGCUGCUAUAACCACACCACUUCUGGUAUUGACAA
rnacentral:lncRNA from 10 species